rnacentral:rRNA from 1 species
AUACGUAGGGGGCUAGCGUUAUCCGGAAUUAUUGGGCGUAAAGAGUGAGCAGGCGGUUAAUUAAGUCUGAGGUUAAAGCGUGGGGCUCAACCCCAUAAAGCCUUGGAAACUGAUUGACUAGAGUACGGGAGAAGUGAAGGGAACUCCAUGUGUAGCGGUGAAAUGCGUAGAUAUAUGGAAGAACACCAGUGGCGAAGGCGCUUCACUAGCCCGAAACUGACGCUCAGUCACGAAAGCGUGGGUAGCAAAUAGGAUUAGACACCCUAGUAGUCCACGCUGUAAACGAUGACAACUAAAUAUUGCCGCGAGGCAGUGUUGAAGCUAACGCAUUAAGUUGUCCGCCUGGGGAGUACGGUCGCAAGACUGAAACUUAAAGGAAUUGACGGGG